GCCUCAUUAGCAAAGGGGUAGAGCAGUAGUCUCGUAAACUGAGAGUUGUGAGUUCGAAUCUCUCAUGAGGUU
rnacentral:tRNA from 1 species